ACUGCGAAGGGGGGACGGAGAAGGCUAUGUUGGCCGGGCGACGGUUGUCCCGGUUUAAGCAUGUAGGCGGAGGUUCCAGGUAAAUCCGGUACCUUUUAACGCUGAGGUGUGAUGACGAGGCACUACGGUGCUGAAGUAACAAAUGCCCUGCUUCCAGGAAAAGCCUCUAAGCAUCAGGUAACACGAAAUCGUACCCCAAACCGACACAGGUGGUCAGGUAGAGAAUACCAAGGCGCUUGAGAGAACUCGGGUGAAGGAACUAGGCAAAAUGGUGCCGUAACUUCGGGAGAAGGCACGCUGGCAUGUAGGUGAAGCGGUUUACCCGUGGAGCUGAAGCCAGUCGAAGAUACCAGCUGGCUGCAACUGUUUAUUAAAAACACAGCACUGUGCAAACACGAAAGUGGACGUAUACGGUGUGACGCCUGCCCGGUGCCGGAAGGUUAAUUGAUGGGGUUAGCGGCAACGCGAAGCUCUUGAUCGAAGCCCCGGUAAACGGCGGCCGUAACUAUAACGGUCCUAAGGUAGCGAAAUUCCUUGUCGGGUAAGUUCCGACCUGCACGAAUGGCGUAAUGAUGGCCAGGCUGUCUCCACCCGAGACUCAGUGAAAUUGAAAUCGCUGUGAAGAUGCAGUGUACCCGCGGCAAGACGGAAAGACCCCGUGAACCUUUACUAUAGCUUGACACUGAACACUGGUCCUUGAUGUGUAGGAUAGGUGGGAGGCUUCGAAGCGUGGACGCCAGUCUGCGUGGAGCCGUCCUUGAAAUACCACCCUUUAAUGGCUGGUGUUCUAACGUGGGCCCGUAAUCCGGGUUGCGGACAGUGUCUGGUGGGUAGUUUGACUGGGGCGGUCUCCUCCUAAAGCGUAACGGAGGAGCACGAAGGUUGGCUAAUCCUGGUCGGACAUCAGGAGGUUAGUGCAAUGGCAUAAGCCAGCUUGACUGCGAGCGUGACGGCGCGAGCAGGUGCGAAAGCAGGUCAUAGUGAUCCGGUGGUUCUGAAUGGAAGGGCCAUCGCUCAACGGAUAAAAGGUACUCCGGGGAUAACAGGCUGAUACCGCCCAAGAGUUCAUAUCGACGGCGGUGUUUGGCACCUCGAUGUCGGCUCAUCACAUCCUGGGGCUGAAGUAGGUCCCAAGGGUAUGGCUGUUCGCCAUUUAAAGUGGUACGCGAG
rnacentral:rRNA from 1 species